CCCUGGCAUCCUUCUGCUGUGCUUAUGGAGCACCUGGAGCAAGCAGGCACUGACUGCAUCGCUCGUGGGGGCUACCACUGCUCAGAUAACAACCGAGGGCGUGAAGAAAUGUGGCAGGAGGAGCAGUGCAUUCAUAACGCAGCAACAAAGACUGGAGCACUGCUCAGACAGGUAGCAGAGCUCCUUCAUUAGUGGUCACUGUUAACCCCAUCCAGUCAGUGCUGAGCAAAACGAGGACUCUGCAAACUGCAGGUAAUAUUUCCUGCUGGCUCAGCUAUAGUCAUUUAUGCAGCUUUUAGGGUAGUUUGGUGUUUUUUUCUUUCUUUUUCUGUUCCUUGCUUUUGGUGAGAUGCUAAUAAUUCGUGCAAACUCCCCCAUACACAACCAAUCUCCAUCAGAUGAUGAGACAAAAGGCUGAGAUAA
rnacentral:lncRNA from 1 species